UGGGGAAUUUUCCGCAAUGGGCGAAAGCCUGACGGAGCAAUACCGCGUGAGGGAGGAAGGCUUUUGGGUUGUAAACCUCUUUUCUUAGGGAAGAAGAACUGACGGUACCUAAGGAAUCAGCCUCGGCUAACUCCGUGCCAGCAGCCGCGGUAAAACGGAGGAGGCAAGCGUUAUCCGGAAUUAUUGGGCGUAAAGCGUCCGCAGGUGGUUUUUCAAGUCCGCUGUCAAAGACCGGAGCUUAACUCCGGAGAGGCAGUAGAAACUGAGAGACUAGAGUUCGGUAGGGGUAGAGGGAAUUCCCAGUGUAGCGGUGAAAUGCGUAGAGAUUGGGAAGAACACCAGUGGAGAAAGCGCUCUACUGGGCCGAAACUGACACUCACAGGACGAAAGCUAAGGUAGCGAAUGGGAUUAGAUACCCCCGUAGUCC
rnacentral:rRNA from 1 species